rnacentral:rRNA from 1 species
AGAGUUUAAUCCUGGCUCAGGACGAACGCUGGCGGCACGCUUAACACAUGCAAGUCGAACGAGAGAAGAGGAGCUUGCUUUUCUGAUCUAGUGGCGGACGGGUGAGUAACACGUGAGCAAUCUGCCUUUCAGAGGGGGAUACCGAUUGGAAACGAUCGUUAAUACCGCAUAACAUAAUUGAACCGCAUGAUUUGAUUAUCAAAGAUUUAUCGCUGAAAGAUGAGCUCGCGUCUGAUUAGCUAGUUGGUAAGGUAACGGCUUACCAAGGCGACGAUCAGUAGCCGGACUGAGAGGUUGAUCGGCCACAUUGGGACUGAGACACGGCCCAGACUCCUACGGGAGGCAGCAGUGGGGAAUAUUGCACAAUGGAGGAAACUCUGAUGCAGCGAUGCCGCGUGAGGGAAGAAGGUUUUAGGAUUGUAAACCUCUGUCUUCAGGGACGAAAAAAGACGGUACCUGAGGAGGAAGCUCCGGCUAACUACGUGCCAGCAGCCGCGGUAAUACGUAGGGAGCGAGCGUUGUCCGGAAUUACUGGGUGUAAAGGGAGCGUAGGCGGGAUCGCAAGUCAGAUGUGAAAACUAUGGGCUUAACCCAUAAACUGCAUUUGAAACUGUGGUUCUUGAGUGAAGUAGAGGUAAGCGGAAUUCCUAGUGUAGCGGUGAAAUGCGUAGAUAUUAGGAGGAACAUCAGUGGCGAAGGCGGCUUACUGGGCUUUAACUGACGCUGAGGCUCGAAAGCGUGGGGAGCAAACAGGAUUAGAUACCCUGGUAGUCCACGCCGUAAACGAUGAUUACUAGGUGUGGGGGGACUGACCCCUUCCGUGCCGCAGCAAACGCAAUAAGUAAUCCACCUGGGGAGUACGACCGCAAGGUUGAAACUCAAAGGAAUUGACGGGGGCCCGCACAAGCAGUGGAGUAUGUGGAUUAAUUCGAAGCAACGCGAAGAACCUUACCAGGUCUUGACAUCGUAUGCAUAGCUCAGAGAUGAGUGAAAUCUCUUCGGAGACAUAUAGACAGGUGGUGCAUGGUUGUCGUCAGCUCGUGUCGUGAGAUGUUGGGUUAAGUCCCGCAACGAGCGCAACCCUUACUGUUAGUUGCUACGCAAGAGCACUCUAGCAGGACUGCCGUUGACAAAACGGAGGAAGGUGGGGAUGACGUCAAAUCAUCAUGCCCCUUAUGACCUGGGCCUCACACGUACUACAAUGGCUGUCAACAGAGGGAAGCAAAGCCGCGAGGUGGAGCGAACCCCUAAAAGCAGUCUUAGUUCGGAUUGUAGGCUGCAACCCGCCUACAUGAAGUCGGAAUUGCUAGUAAUCGCAGAUCAGCAUGCUGCGGUGAAUACGUUCCCGGGCCUUGUACACACCGCCCGUCACGCCAUGGGAGUCGGUAACACCCGAAGCCUGUAGUCUAACCGCAAGGAGGACGCAGUCGAAGGUGGGAUUGAUGACUGGGGUGAAGUCGUAACAAGGUA